CCUACGGGUGGCAGCAGUGAGGAAUAUUGGUCAAUGGACGAGAGUCUGAACCAGCCAAGUAGCGUGAAGGAUGACGGCCCUAUGGGUUGUAAACUUCUUUUAUAUGGGAAUAAAAUGUUCCACGUGUGGGGUUUUGUAUGUACCCUAUGAAUAAGGAUCGGCUAACUCCGUGCCAGCAGCCGCGGUAAUACGGAGGAUCCGAGCGUUAUCCGGAUUUAUUGGGUUUAAAGGGUGCGUAGGUGGAUUGUUAAGUCAGUUGUGAAAGUUUGCGGCUCAACCGUAAAAUUGCAGUUGAAACUGGAAGUCUGGAGUGCAGUAGAGGCGGGCGGAAUUCGUGGUGUAGCGGUGAAAUGCUUAGAUAUCACGAAGAACUCCGAUUGCGAAGGCAGCUCACUGGGCUGCAACUGACACUGAGGCUCGAAAGUGUGGGUAUCAAACAGGAUUAGAUACCCGUGUAGUC
rnacentral:rRNA from 1 species